GUGCCCAUCGAUUAGUGGUUAAAUCAGUUCAUUGUGGGUUUAUGCUGCAGGUGCUGAACAGUCCCGCGUUCGACUCGCGAUGGGCAUA